rnacentral:rRNA from 1 species
CCUACGGGGGGCAGCAGUGGGGAAUAUUGGGCAAUGGGCGCAAGCCUGACCCAGCAACGCCGCGUGAAGGAAGAAGGCUUUCGGGUUGUAAACUUCUUUUGUCAGGGACGAAGCAAGUGACGGUACCUGACGAAUAAGCCACGGCUAACUACGUGCCAGCAGCCGCGGUAAUACGUAGGUGGCGAGCGUUAUCCGGAUUUACUGGGUGUAAAGGGCGUGUAGGCGGGACUGCAAGUCAGAUGUGAAAACUCAGGGCUCAACCCUGAGCCUGCAUUUGAAACUGUAGUUCUUGAGUACUGGAGAGGCAGGCGGAAUUCCCUGUGUAGCGGUGAAAUGCGUAGAUAUAGGGAGGAACACCAGUGGCGAAGGCGGCCUGCUGGACAGCAACUGACGCUGAGGCGCGAAAGCGUGGGGAGCAAACAGGAUUAGAUACCCUU